rnacentral:rRNA from 1 species
UGCUAAGGUAGCAUAAUAACUUGCCUUUUAAUUUAAGGAUAGAAUGAAAGGAUUCAUGACUUUAUCUUUUUCUUUCGCUCUCUUAAUAAACCUUACCUACCAUUAAAAAGGCUGGUAUAAAAAAGAAGGACGACAAGACCCUAUAGAACUUCACUUUUGUUAAACUGGGGCGGUAAAAAACAACAUCUUUUUCUCCCCUCAAAAUAAAGACCUAAAAUAUUUAAAAAUGAGAACAAGUUACCUUAGGGAUAACAGAGCAAUUCUUCUCUAGAUUAACCAAAAGAAGAGUUUACUACCUCGAUGUUGAAUUAAUGCUCCUUUAUAAAAAAAUAUUAUACAAGGGGGUCUGUUCGACCCAUAAAACAUUACAUGAUUUGAGUUCAGACCGGCGCAAGCCAGGUCAGAUUCUAUCCUCUACAAUUUUAAUACAGUACGAAAGGACCUAUUAAUGAAUAAUA